UAGGGAAUAUUGGUCAAUGGAUGCAAGUCUGAACCAGCCAUGCCGCGUGCAGGAAGAAGGCCUUCUGGGUUGUAAACUGCUUUUGCCGGGGGAUAAAAAGCCCAUGCGUGGGAACUUGAAGGUACCCGGUGAAUAAGCCACGGCUAACUACGGGCCAGCAGCCGCGGUAAUACGUAGGUGGCAAGCGUUGUCCGGAUUUAUUGGGUUUAAAGGGUGCGUAGGCGGUCCUAUAAGUCAGUGCUGAAAUAUCCCGGCUUAACCGGGAGGGUGGCAUUGAUACUGCAGGACUUGAGUAGAGUUGAGGUUGGCGGAAUUGACGGUGUAGCGGUGAAAUGCUUAGAUAUCGUCAAGAACACCGAUAGUGAAGACAGCUAACUAAGCUCUAACUGACGCUGAGGCACGAAAGUGUGGGGAUCAAA
rnacentral:rRNA from 1 species